UACGUAGGGGGCUAGCGUUGUCCGGAAUCAUUGGGCGUAAAGAGCGUGUAGGCGGUCCGGUAAGUCCGCUGUGAAAGUCGGGGGCUCAACCCUCGAAUGCCGGUGGAUACUGUCGGGCUAGAGUGCGGAAGAGGCGAGUGGAAUUCCUGGUGUAGCGGUGAAAUGCGCAGAUAUCAGGAGGAACACCGGUGGCGAAGGCGGGACUCUGGGCCGAUACUGACGCUGAGGAGCGAAAGCGUGGGGAGCAAACAGG
rnacentral:rRNA from 1 species